UUGUGCGCAAUGUUACCGCUAAUUGAUUGGUGAUAUUUACACGAGUUGAUCGGAUUUGAAAAUUGCGGGGAAGACAAUCGUAUGACUGGCGGAUUCGACGCCGCAGCAUAAAUCUGUUGGUCAGCGUGAUUCUAUUACAGUGGUUAAUAAACUGACAGGUCAGUUAAUGGUUGAAUUUAUGGCAUGACCUGCCCCCUGCUUAACGAAGUUAACGAGGUUUCGGAUAAUGGCCGCUACGUGCUAUUUUAUUAUCUUGUGGAUAGCAACAAUAAUGCUCUAUAGAGUAAAUGUGAAAGAAACUUUUAAAGUUAUUUUUCAUAGUCAUUCAUUUUACACGGAAUUUUCUUCUAUACAAGGAACGAUUACCUUGUAACGUAUAAUACAAUUUUUCAUGUAUCUCGUAUUUCUGAAAUUUACAGGAUGAUACUCUCUCUCUCUCUCUCUCUCUCUCUCUUGUUAGUUAACUUGAAGGUAGUGUCGUUGAUCACACCACAAAUCACGCAUUCUCGUUACCAUUUUACACGCAUACAAUCGUCUCUACCAUGAAACAGGCAAUAGCAGUCUUCGAUGACAGAUUACACGUAGGGAUAUGGCGUUAUCAUCGUCAUGUGAUUGACGAUGCUGCUUUUGAGUUAACUAGCUGGAGAAUCAUUCUGUACGUCACGAAUAUAUCUACGAGCAUGUCUUUUAACGUUAUUAGACCGCGGAUUUUCCUGCAUUUCUAGAAAAUAUGAACAUGCAAAAAUGCAUAAAAUGCAUAUAAUGCGCAAAAGUAUACAAAAUACCCACGGUAUGGUAUCCGUUAUAAUGUUUAACAGGCAAAACGAUUCUCUAUCUUUUUAAUUAUAUUCGUAAAAAUAUGAAUUUGCAUAAAUAUCCGUGGCUUAAACGUUACUAUACACAUACAGAAGCAUUUGAUAAUUCUUACAAAACAAGUUGGUAAUCAUUUUACAGAGGGUUAGAAAAUCGAUUAGUAAACGUUCAGUAGUGAAACGAGCUUCGUUGGUAAAGAAUAUAUGCGCGAGUAAUUUUUCAACGGGUAAUCUAAAUCUAUAAUUUAAUUAAUAUAAAGCAAUUUCGUUAGAAAGUUAGAAAGCGUCGUUUUUGAUUAUUAAUUUCCGAUCAAAUUCACAAUACUGUUCCUCCAUGUCGAUCAAUUAAUGACGCGAGGAAUGUAAUUGGGGAAUAUAUUAUAAGAUAAAUAGUUUAAACUGCCUGAGGAAUGUCAUUCGAUUUACGUAAUUUUAAUUCCAAUUUCGGACAGAAUAAAUAUUUAAACGUUAAUGUUAUACCAUGGUGUGGUUACAGUACGUUAAACAAAUUAAUGGAAUGAUUAUCUUUGCGAAACAAACAUACAUAAAUUCUAGAUAAUAGAGCUCUCCAUAAUUAUAACUACAUGAUAGAAUACAUCGAUAUAAUAACUCAAACCAAUCUCCGUGUAGCCUGUUUACCGUCAAACUCGUUUUAAUUAAAUUCCAAAGCUCGGAGCACAAUUUCACUAAUAAAUCACAAACAUCUCAUCUCUUGACAUAUUCGUGAUUUUUUAGGCUUCGAACGUACCUUUCGUUUCAACGCUUUGUGAAUAUUUCGGUUCACUUCUUUCACUGCACGUCUGACAACUAACAACAUGAUUCAAUAAAAAAAAAAAAAGACAGAUCUAAUUAUUAUAAAAGUUUUGAAAUCUGAAAUUUCUAUCUGUCGUUUCAUGAAUUAACAGAGAUAGAAAGAGAGAGAGAGAGAGAGAGAGAAACCGGCGAUCCUCGCGAGUUAGUAAUUGUCUUAGCCAACUGACGAUUAGACAGCAAUUAAUUCUUUCCCAAUCAGGACGCUACACACGUGCGUUGGUGAAAUCGAUCACAACUGUCCGUUCCCGUGCUUUUCACAAGGACAAGCAGAAUUCCAGGAACGUCCGAUCCUCGUCGCUGGACAACGAAACGAACUCGUCGAUCAAUCGGCACGCUAAUGGCGGAAUUCGGCCAUCGCCACUCGAUGCACUUCGUGCAAAUUGUAUUUGAAGAUUAACUACCGCUGGUUACGUGGAACUCUUUGGACUGUACGUAGAUAGUUUCCAAGUGUAAGUGCAAUUUGUUUAUUGUACAUUAUACAAGCUUUGCGAUUAUGUUUGACGAAAUGUCAUUUGACAUUGUCGGCGUGUAGUACAACAUCCGAAUUUUCUUAAAGUUCGACAGAUUAUUCUGCGAUUGAAUCUAUUUUUGAGAGGAAACCACGAAAAAUUGAAGUUCUAACGUUCCGAAAAAAAUUUACCUCUUCCGGUGGGUAAAUUGAACGUAUAUUAUCAAAAAAGGCAUUAUAAAUAAAUAAUGGAAUAGAAAUUUGAGGUUUGAUCUAUGAACGACAAUUUGUAACAAAAGUGUAUGAGUUUCGUUCGAAAUUGAUUGAUCAAUUACUUUUUCAAUUAUCGUACACGCCAGUUUAGAAAGAUUGAUAAACAAUCGAAACAAUUUAGCUAAAAAAUUACAUUUCUACUUCUAUUUAGUAUUACAAUUUAGUAGUACUCGCUUCAAACAAAUAUUCAUCAAAAUCACUUGUUCCUCUCGAUGCUACACUGCCCCUCACCCUAAAUAGAAAGUUUAGAUAUCCAUUUUAUAUCAAGCAAUUCACGAGCAUCGAUAUCAAACUCUAUAAAAAUGUAAUUACAAUUAAAUACAAAUUAUAUUUAUAUAUAUACGAAUACAAAUUAUAAUUGUAUUUAUACAUACAACUAUAAUUAAAUGUAAAUUAGAAAUCUAUGUACUGCUACUACCUGAAUUGUUCCAACAUUGUAUAUUAUCUUUAUAUCGUCGUGUAUCAAAAGCUGUCACAAAAUAAACGAAAAUAUUUUUACAUCCGUUCGUAAAUUCUUCGAUAACUGGGUUAGCAAGCGGCAGCCUGGCAGACUUGCCGCGAUUACGGCGCCGUUUCACUUCGUUAGUGGCCAAUUUCCGCGGAAACGGCAGAUUACAUAAGCGAGAAACGAGCAAUGCGACCAAAUCCGCAGCGGUCAACAAACGCGAGCGUUGUCGAGCGAUUCGUUAAAUCGUACAAUACUCCGCGGCGGAGGAAAUUAAUGAGCUGGUCGGGGUCUCGGCUUUAGUCAGAAAAAUACAAGGAAAUGCCCGGGCCACGACAAGUGCCUGCCCUAAUUGAAUAAUCGUGCCGCGCCGGUAACAGCCAUGCGAUUCGCCAAUUUUAAUUCACUUUCGACGUUAAUGCGGUUUCUAUUUAACGAUAGGAAAGACCCGUAGCGAAAUUAACGCGCACCUUUUCCACGUUUAACUCGGCAAAGCCGGUAUAAUUCAACAAUUUUCAUCAGCCGAAUUUUCUACACGAUUUCAACCGGCUGCCUGAUAUACGGUAUGAUUCAUAAAUGCGCAUCUAUAUAUUUUAGACGAAUAUAAAUACUUGAGACUUGAGACGAGUGUAUUCGAGGCGAGUCUACGUUUCAAGAUAAGUCAAAAUUGUGGCGAACUUCACUGUCGUUCCUAAGUACACGGACACUUUGUUCGAUUCAUAUCGACGAUACACGAAUAAUUAAUAAGACGUACGAACGAAUACGAUAUUUAAUAUGUUCUUGAGAAACCAAUGGAUACGUAUCAUACGAGAUAUUAGUCGUUUAUUUAAAACCUUAUCGAUCGUACAUAUUAUUCAUCGAGGUGUUAAGCGAUCUUGAAUACCACUGCUGCGAUCAUUCACGACAGUCCCCAUGAUCAAUUCUGGAUCUGUCCUGUUUUCUGAAAAAAGUUUCCAGGACAGAAGAAGAAAGAAAAGACGAUAUCGUAUAAAAGUACCGCUUUUGAGCGGCUUAGCGAUUGGACUGCCAAAUUGGUCAUACUGGCCACGGUGGUCAUUGGUAACCGGAGCGCUUCAACUUCUUACAAUUGUAAAAUUGUAUGAAAAUUGACAGUUAGGGCAUUUUGAA